CCGCCGGCGACCGGCGCACGGGUGAGUAACACGUAUGCAACUUGGCCGUGACAGAUGGAUAACCGGGAGAAAUCCCGCCUAAUACAACAUAAUGCCGGGAGGGGACAUCCCCUGCCGGCCAAAGGGGGCGACCCCGGUCACGGAUGGGCAUGCGGCGCAUUAGGUAGUUGGUGGGGCAACGGCCCACCAAGCCGACGAUGCGUAGGGGUUCUGAGAGGAAGGUCCCCCACAUUGGAACUGAGACACGGUCCAAACUCCUACGGGAGGCAGCAG
rnacentral:rRNA from 1 species